rnacentral:rRNA from 1 species
UACGUAGGCAGCGAGCGUUGUUCGGAGUUCUGGGCGUAAAGGGUGUGUAGGCGGUUGUUUUAAGUUUGGUGUGAAAUCUCCCGGCUCAACUGGGAGGGUGCGCCGAAUACUGAAUGACUUCGAGUGCGGGAGAGGAGAGUGGAAUUCCUGGUGUAGCGGUGAAAUGCGUAGAUAUCAGGAGGAACACCGGUGGUGUAGACGGCUCUCUGGACCGUAACUGACGCUGAGACACGAAAGCGUGGGUAGCAAACAGG